GCGGAUAUAGUUUAGUGGUAAAACACGAGCUUCCCAAGCUUGGGAUGCGGGUUCGAUUCCCGUUAUCCGCU
rfam:Herbinix sp. SD1D isolate SD1D genome assembly, chromosome: I